GCCGAGUAGAUAAAAACAUGAGCCUUUUAGAUGUUAAAGGGAUCAAUUCUGUCAUCGGUUACUCGGCCUCAUGUCAGUCCAAACCCAUUUCUAAGCAGGGUUUCAUGAAGGACUUUAAGAAGUCUUGAAUUCACCUUCAUGGAACCAGCAGAAGCCCUGCAUCAUGAGCGGACUUUAAUGUAAAAGGCAAGAUAAAAAAGAAUCACAUGAUAUUUGUAAAUAAAUUAAUUUUAUUUGAGACAGAUGGGGCUGUGCGUUGUCGAUGGCUUCAUGUCUGUAACCAGUAUUACCAUUAUUACGGUUUAUAAAGCCAUGCCGUUGAUGAUUAAAGUUACAUUUUAUUCAUAUAAUAUAAUGUUUUCCUCUGAAAACCCCCACUGAUGAUCAUGAGAGCCAUGCCGGAGCUGCUGCAGAACUUUACAUGUCGCACUAAACUGUACUGAAAUCCCCAGAGACACAAAAAACAAAAACACACAUAUCCCAGAACAGACCCGAUUCUAGUUUCUUUUAACUGCUUGUGAAAAGUCUGUCUCUGUGUCUUUAUUCUUCUCUUCUCAGGUUCAUCGAUGAAGAUAAAAGGGCAAGACGUCCUGCUCGUGCCGAUGAGAAAAAAGGU